GGAGGCGUUGACGGGCACGCCGAACAGGCGCAGGUAGUCCUUGUUGGUGUUGGCCAGGUCGGCCACGCUCUUCAGGUCCCACACCGAGGCCAGCGCGGUCACGGGCGACAGGACCAGGCCGGUCAGGCCGGCGGGCAGCGUGGAGGCCACCGUGUCGUCCGUGUACACGGCGCCGGUGACCGCGUCCUUGCAAGAGCCCUUGUAGGAGGCGUCCUUGCCGGCGUAGCUGGCCAUGCCGCUGUGGGAGGGAAGAAGAGGGAGGGAGAGAUGAUAAGUACAUGCGCACAACAUUGUCCUGUGCAAUGGCAAUAGCAGGAGAACUCUCCAGUAAAGCAACCCUAUUCACAAAGCAAGUACUCACGUGAAGUUGCCCGCGGUGGUGGUGACGGUGAGGUCGCCAAUUAGCACGUUGCAGGACAGCGGGCCGGUGGCCAGACCGCGGGCCGAGUAGUUGGCGGUCGACAGCGGCGGCGAGGGGGGAGGCGAGGGCGCGGGCGACGGGGGAGGCGAGGGCGGGGGCGAGGGCACGGUGAUGAGCGCGGGUGAGGGGCGGGGCACGUAGGCCGGGCCGGUGGCGCUGCCGGCACGCAGCACGGUCUGGCUGACAGCCACAUCCACCGUGUCACCAGCCAUGGGCUUGUAGGUGGCGGCGGCGGUGAGCGUGAGGCUCAGGCCGUCGGCGCUGACGGCGCAGGCCGACAGAGGGCUGGCGACGGCGCUGCCGUUGCGGGCAAUGACCACGGCGGCAUUGCAGUCGGCGGCAGCGGUGCUGGUGAGGACCGAGGCGGUGGGCAGGGCGACGGUGACGAUGGUGGCGUUGGUGAGCGUGGCGGACACGAUGUUGGGGGUGACCAGCACGCCGGCCUUGGAGGGCACGUAGGCGGUGGUGCCGUCAGCCAGGGUCAGGGCCCUCUGGCCGGGCACGAUGUUCAGCACAUCGCCGCCCACAAACGAGGCCGCGGGGAUGGUCACCGCCAGCGUCACGCCGUCGGCGCCCAGGCUGCAGCUGCUCACGUUCUUGGCCACGCCGCCCGCACCCAGCAGCGCCAGCACCGCCUUGCAGUCGGCGCCAGUGGCCAGGGCGCUGGCGAAGGGCAGGCGCACAGUGAUGGCGGUGGCGGAGGUCAGGUUGGCGUUGGCGAACAGCGCGGGGUUCACCACCUGCGCCGCCAGCUUGGGCACGUAGCUGGGGCCGGUGGCCAGCGCCGAGGAGCGCAGCUCGG
rnacentral:lncRNA from 1 species